ACGAACGCUGGCGGCGUGCUUAACACAUGCAAGUCGAACGGAAAGGCCCUGCUUUUGUGGGGUGCUCGAGUGGCGAACGGGUGAGUAACACGUGAGUAACCUGCCCUUGACUAUGGGAUAACUUCAGGAAACUGGGGCUAAUACUGGAUAGGAGUUCCUGCUGCAUGGUGGGGGUUGGAAAGUUUCGGCGGUUGGGGAUGGACUCGCGGCUUAUCAGCUUGUUGGUGGGGUAGUGGCUUACCAAGGCUUUGACGGGUAGCCGGCCUGAGAGGGUGACCGGCCACAUUGGGACUGAGAUACGGCCCAGACUCCUACGGGAGGCAGCAGUGGGGAAUAUUGCACAAUGGGCGGAAGCCUGUUGCAGCAACGCCGCGUGCGGGAUGACGGCCUUCGGGUUGUAAACCGCUUUCGCCUGUGACGAAGCGUGAGUGACGGUAAUGGGUAAAGAAGCACCGGCUAACUACGUG
rnacentral:rRNA from 1 species